rnacentral:rRNA from 1 species
UAAAUGACUCUCGGCAACGGAUAUCUCGGCUCUCGCAUCGAUGAAGAACGUAGCGAAAUGCGAUACUUGGUGUGAAUUGCAGAAUCCCGUGAACCAUCGAGUCUUUGAACGCAAGUUGCGCCCGAAGCCACUGGGCCGAGGGCACGUCUGCCUGGGCGU